GACAAAAAUUAUCUCAGGAGUUUAAAGUUGGCUUAACAUUUGAAAAUCAACCCAUGUAAUUUACCCGAAUCAUGCCUGAUUUACAGAUAAUUCUGCGCCAAAGAGAAGACACAGCUGUAGCAUUACAGCCCCCAAUAGGAGUUUCCUUAAAAGACAGUGGUGAAGUAAAUCCUCCCAGUGGGCAGAUCUUCAAGAAAUACACUUGGUUGUCCACUUUAUCUGAACUGAAGAAUGGCCAGAACACACCUACCCUGACUAAUGGGCAGUUGCUUACAGCUUCACAAUACGCUUAGGGAACUGGAGAGAACAGCAGCAUUGGAAGAAACAGAAGCACAGAAAUUAUGUAAUUUGCAGAAGACUGCACAGCUGAUGAACGAUGGAGCCAUUUUAGGAAGCUCUAACCCAGGUCUCUCUGACUUCAAUCUGUCUUGGCCUCACAUACCUCAGCAAAGAAGUGGAAAUGGUCUCAAGCUACACCAUCCUCUAACGUAAUGGUCCCCACAGUGGAGGAGGAUAGGCACAUCCUGGGUGUGCGUGAUGGUAUACUGGGAUAUUAACAAAAAAUGUUAGAUUUCUAUUUAUACUUUUUAAGUCUAAAACAAUAAUAAAGAAAUUCAGCUUUGCUACUAUUUAACAUACAGCUGGACACUGGCAUCCUUAUUUGGUCUGGAUGCCAGCUG